AAGGGGCCAGCGGUGUCCUGCUCCAUGCACAGCCCAUGGCAGACCCUCAGGACAUAGGACUUAGAAGAGACAAUACGAAAUUUACUGCCGAAGACAGAAUGCUCUCAGAGAGAAGGCCAGGCUUGAUUUUUUUUUCUUGCUUGUCUCCCGAUUGCAUUUCAUGCAGUUACUUUUUACUUGAGUUUUUUUGUUUGUUUUCUCUUCCAUCAAGCAAUGAAUUCGUUGGUGACCUACUUUAUACUCAACACCACAGAAGGAGACUUUGAGAAGAUGCAAGACUCAAGAUCAUUACUCACAAGAAGCUUGCAGCCCACUGCCUGGAGAGACACAAUUAGUAUUCAUUCUUGUGCUCAACAAAUAUUGAUCCAGUGCAGAGCAUGAUCCAGCACACUGCUGGGUCCUUGUUCUAGAGAGUGACUAAUAUGUAAUCAGGGAUUAGCAUUGAGGGUGCAAAGUAUUAGGAUGGUAGCCCCAUAGACGAUGGGGUCCCUGGUUCCAUUUUAUAUGGAUCAGGAAUGACUUCUUGGAACAAAUGACAUCUAAGCUGAGCAAGGUCAAGCCAAGAGAGUGGAAGCAGGUGUUGGGAGCAAUGUGUGGCAGCCCAGAGUCCAGGGAGAGCACAGUGCAUCCGAGAACCUCUAAGCAGUGACUAAAUGACUUCAUCGUAGCUUUAGGAGAAAUUUACCCUAGGAAAUGAGUCAUGGUGAAAUUAAUUAAUGAACUGUAUGGAGAAAGAAAAGCAGUAUUUUUUUUCCACCGCCUGUCGACUCCCUGAUCUUCACAUUACUGCUCCCUCCUGCCCUGGUGGGCCUGAAGAGUCCAUCUGCCCCCUCCCCAGCCCUUACCCCCAGCACCAGGCAUGUGACUCCAGUCUGGUCACACAGAACUGUUUCUUGGUGCUCGACAUUCUGAAGACAAGAGGGUUGUGACGUGAGAGAUGUGACCCCAGAACACUGCAAGGAAGGGUCUGGGCAGGACUGACAUGAGAGUUGUUACUAGGACAUCGGGCCAGAUUUGAC
rnacentral:lncRNA from 1 species